rnacentral:sRNA from 1 species
CUGGUUUAAAAAAAAUGAACUCAAUGAACACCAUAGUUGCUGAAUCAGUCUACAGUCUCUAUUGUAUAGUGGUUAAACAUUAAAGGGGAAUAUUAGAAUCCAUGGAAAGUAGUCUUGUAUGCAGUUUUUCUUCAUUUUUGCCUGAUAAAAGCAAGUGUUCCACAUCACCUUAUUUCCCAAAUAAAAACAGUUUAGUGUGCGUGAAAAACUGUAGGAGAAACAUUAAAAACCACCUCAAAUCAUGUAACAUAGGAGAUAUAGCUUCUGAGGCACAUUUGAUAUGUUACCGUGCUGGUGUUUUUUCGCUAUUUGGAGACUAUACCAUUUGUCCAUUUCAUCGAUAUUCCCUUGGAAUACGAUGGAAGAAGAAGUCAUCUUGCUCACACCCGAGUCACAGUACAACGGCAAAGGCAGAGGAUUGUGCAGUAGAUGUAGAAAAAAUGCAACCCAGGAAAUGAAAUGGUGCGAGUGCUGUAAAGAUGCAUCUUCUGCUCAAAUUUGCAAAAUUACCUCGGAUGAUACCCCUGAAGGAACCUCACAGACAGAUGAAUCGACAACAUAUACUUUGUCACAAGAAUCUAGCGGGAGCACUUCCUUAGAAGGACAAAUACACCUCACAGAUGGAAUAGAAAAUCUGAACAACACCUUGAUGUCUCUAAGUGGUGGCCAAGACAAUCCAGUGAUAUGUUCCAGUUACUUUAUGAAGACAACUGUCAUGAGGAUACAGAACAAAGUGAAAAAACAGAACUUUAAAUCACUGAUACAAUUCUUCAACUCUAUUGUGAAGCUGAAAACAAUGCUCUCAAACGUCAACUUCUGUCCCUGCUGUCCUUGCCGAAUGCACAUAGUAAAUCGAAACUUCAGAAACUCAUUCCAGGACUUACAAAGUGGGAAAUUGAUCAAAGUCGAGCACAUGCUGCAUCUCAUGGAGCAGGUUCUUUACCAGGACCCGUGGAACCAGGAUACCGGCAUCGCAUGAACAAAGAAAAGUUGGAGCAUGCUUUAUCUUUUUUCUUGGAUCCAAAAUUUCAUCAAAUUUGUUCAUAUGGAACAAAAGAUUUGCAUUGUGAAUGGACAGACUGUCACCAUACCCCAAGUAGUGAGAACAACAUGCCACUCCUCUCUCCUACAAAUGUACAAGUCAUACUGCUCUGAAACAGGUUUUGUUCCUUUGUCAGAUU